AAAUAUCUUCUCUUAUUUCCCUAUACCAAACCCGUUUUUAGAGAAUUGAAUAAGCUGGGAAUGGGUUUUAUUUUAUUUUUUUAUUUUUUUAUUAUUUUUUAUUUUUUUUGUAGUGAUAAAAGGUUAGUAUAUAUUUUCAAUGUAUUUUGAGUUUUUGACCGUUCAACGGUCACAAAGCAAGAGAGAAAGCCAAGCAUCGGAUAUAGUAGCCAACUUUUCUUCGAUUCCGCCAUACCUCGCCUUGCUAAAGUCGGAGGUAGAGGCGGUACUGCUGUAACCCGCCACAGAAAUCGGACGACUCUGUCGGCGGUGGGGCCAAAUUGAAAUGAGAUACAGAGAAGAAAACUGCGGUCAAUCGUCUGCGUCUAUAUCUCGAAUCUCGCAGCAAGAUACGGAUACGAAGGUUUCAGGUUAGUCUGUUUGCCUAUUUGAUUACUCUUAUCUAAUUUAGGGUUUCUAGUAGUUUAUCUUGAUGAAACUCCCAGGGUUGCGAAUUUGACCUAUGGCUGUUCGAAUUAUCAUAGUAACCUGUGCUUUUUUUUUUGUUUGUUCUUUGCGACGACUUGAUGUUGUAAGAAUCAAAAUUUUGUUUGAAGGCAACGGUGAAAGCGUAAUGAGAGCCCAACGAAAUACUAUACAUUAGUCCUAUUUAAAAUACUGAUUCUUGGUUAGUUGAUUUUGGAUUGCCUCGUGAUUAAACAACAGAAAAUAAAGAAUAAGGAAAGUCCAAUUAAUUACUGAAAUCUUCAACUGUGUUCUUACUUUCUAGCUGUUACACCAUAGAAACCUGAUGAAAGAGAUAAAGCAUUUCUCGAACUUCUUUUCAAGUCUUGAUCAAUGGAUUUCUUUCAAAAAUGUUUGAAGGCUUUAACUCGAAUCCAUUGGAUAACGUUGACAUCACUGGGAAAUCUUCUUGACAGGGGCUGUGAUGAAAUCCCACAGUGUACCACAAAACUAUAUCUUUGUUUAUAAUCGAUCUAUUCCUGCAACCCCAAAACACAAUCUUUAAUUCAAGAAACUUUACUUUAAUUAAAAAAAAACACAAAAUUUUCGAAAAACGAAAAGAACCUUCGGCUCCAAACAGCUAAUCCAUCUUUUCCUGUGCUCCUAUCAGCAUAAAACCCUGCAGCCCAUCUCUCGGACUUGUUAUAACUAGUCACCCACACUUGAUACUUAGUGUAAGAAGCUCUAAUUUGUGGAUAAUCAUCAUCCAAUAAUAAAGAGACAGCUGGCUGCCCUGUCAUCAACCGAUACCCAACAUCAUUUCCCAAUUUGGUUUUCUUAUUUGUGUUCACCACUAAAAGCUCGGAUGCCUUUAACCCGAGCCUAAUUCUUGCUUCGUUUUCGGUUUUUGCAGUCUCCUUAACGACAUUCCAGUAACUCUUCCUUGGAGAUGUGUUGACUUUUUUGACUUUUAAGUUUGCUUUUACAAAAGAAUUUUCAUCACCAUCGAUGUCAAGGUCGAGAUAGUAUGUUAUGAAGUGAGAUCAUGGUUGUUUCUAGGGAUGAGCAUAUGACCCGUUGGACCGGACCGGACCGGAAAAAAACCGGGACCGGACCCAGACCGGACCGGAUAUACAUAUUAAUGGGCCGGUUUUCGGGUUUUGUUUUUACCACUAAUUGGGUUUCGGGUUUGGACCGGACCGUACCCGGAAUACGGGAUUUAACCCGGACCGGACCAGAAAUUUUUUUCUCCUUAAAAUAUAUAGAUAAGGAUACUGAAUUACUAGUUAAUGUUAUAUAUAACAUUAUGUAUAAAACUUGAUGUUUUUAUUUUAACAUUGUUUAUAAAUCUUGAUCAACGUUUGUUCCUAUCACUUUACAAGAAACAAUGUAUCUAGCAUGCUAUUUUUUGUUCAAACAUGCAAAUUUUUUUUUUAUAAAAACAUGCAAAUUUUUUUAUAAAAACAUGCAGCUUUUUAUAAAUAAUGCUGUUUUUUGUUGUUUUUUACACAAAAAAAGCUAUGAAAAUGUAGUUUUUUAUUAGCAAUGUUGUUUCUUUUUUGUUAAAACAUGCAUUUUUUUUUAUAAAAAGUGUAGUUUUUAUGCUAAAUAGUGUAAUUUUUAUUUGUUCCAAAUGUUAAUAAGGUUUGUAUUUUUUUUUUGUAGACGCCUCAUUUGCAUGUGAUCUAAGUAAAGUCCCGCAUUGUACCAAUUUCAAAGCCUAAUUCGGUCCAAAACCCGAAACCCAGUUUAGUACCCGAGACCGGACCGGACCGAACCCGAACCUGAUACAUCCAGAAACGGUCCGGUUUUCGGGUAAGAAAAUUCACGAUGUUUGGUCUUCGGGUUUUCGGUCUUCGGGCCGGUCUGGUCCGGGUUUGGCCCGUUGCUCAUCCCUAGUUGUUUCCUAUUCUGUUGGUUGCUACUAGUGGUCCAUAUGUUUCUUCUUUGAUCUCUUCGGCUUUUGUGUAUCUUGUUGCUUUCAUUUCCAAAACGUCCGUAAGUCCUACCUUCAAGAUCAAUAUAAUUUGAAUUUAGAUUAAAUUUAUUGGAAAAUGGGGAAACUAUAUCUAACAAAAUCUACAAGUUAUCUACUACCAAGAAUAUAAUUUGAAUUUAGAUUAAUUUUAUUGGAAAUGGGGAAACUAUAAUCAUGCUUAUAAAGGCCAAUUUUUUUUCUUUACCUAUUAAUUCCUGAAUAGAUAAAGGAUACUGAAUGUAUAACGAUAUUUGUAUAGAUAUAGUGUUGCUGAUAUACCGUUUCUUUUUUGAAUGCCUGAAUCUAAAUAUAUGACUAAAGACAUAAUUAGUAACUUAAAUUGAACGUAAUUUUAAAGUAAGUUCAAAUAGUAAAAUUAAUUUCUAACAAUUAAUAUUUACAUACAUAAUGGGGAAACAAAAAUAACCUGCACAUGAAAUUUGCAUGAUAUUUACACAUUUAAUAGCGAGUAACUCAAUAUAUAAGCAUAAAAAUAUACUCAGUUACUCAUAAUUUUCAAUAUAAAUGUGAUUUAGAGAAAUAAUAGCAAUUCCGGAAAACUAUAUUAAUCCAAAACUUAUUUUCAAUAUAAAUGUGAUUUAGAGAAAUAAUAGCAAUUCCGGAAAACUAUAUUAAUCCAUAACUAAGUUUUUGCCAUCCUACUUGUUGCAUACAUGCACACUAGGAUGUGAGACUUGUAAGUCUCAAAACACUUAGAUCAAUACGAUAUCAAUCAAACUAUCUAAAGAAUGCGGAAUAUAAAUCAGAUAGUGAUUCAAGCCUUAACAGGCCCAAGCCCAAACUGCCUGAAUCACUAUGUGAUUUCGGUCCCCAUAAACGAAAACACCAUAAGCCCACUACCAAUAAACAUAACUAAGCCCAAAUAAUAAACAAGCAUCCAUUAAACAAUCUCCCCCUUGGCUUAUUGCUGGCUGAUUUUACGGCUUCUCUACAAGAUGAACAUUAGAAUAUGCCAAUGCCCACAACCUCUUAUCAAUGAUCGUCGCUAUCAUGCCGGUGAAAGCCUUUGCAGCAGCUUCAAACAUUUCAUUUCCACCAUAAGCUGAUGCUUGGAUAAAGUAUGAAUGUCAUGCUCGCUAAAUUUCAGCAAAUCCUUAGGAUCAACAAGACGAAUCUGAUCCUUUUUCAUCUUGAUUACCACAGUCGUUGUAGCCUCAUCAUAUACCCAAUAUGAUAGGGAUCAAUACACGCUGAGUGAUAGGGAUCUGAUCCUUUUUCAUCUUGAUUACCACAGUCAUUCAAAGAGCCAUCAGUACACGCUGAGUGAUAGGGAUCCUUUUCGCUUUAUUUGUAGGUGGCCACAUAACAUUCACCAUAGUCUUGUUGGUGCGUGGAUCAAUAACACCCUUGACCUUUUUAACGAACGAUGACGCUGUUUUCAAGCCUUUACAGUUUUGCUUCGCUUUGUCUUCAAGGAACUUCUUAAACGCCCAUGCCUUGGGGCCUGAUGCGUGCAAAUAGCUACACCUAUUUGUCUUCAAGGAACUUCUUAAACGCCCAUGCCUUGGGGUCUGAUGCAUGCAAAUAGCUACACCUAAUUUUAUUUUUUAUAACCUAAUGGCCUUAACUAACUAAUUGCACCUAGGCGGUGUACCUAGUCAAAAUUAUAGAAUAGUUGGGUAAGUCGGGUGUCGAUCUCAGGGAACGGUUUUGACUAAUUAAUUUAUCUACUAUUAAGUUAACCUACUUUUAGAGCAAAGAGGGGGUUUUAUCUGAUUUUGCAAGACCAGACGAACUUAUAUCACAUAAUUCAAUCAAUUAAUUAAAAACACUCCUGUCUAGUUUGAAUCCACUUCUUUAUUUAUGUUUAAUAGUUAUGGAUUAUCAAAGUUGGUCACCAAUUAUUAUGUAAUUAGCAAUUCAAGUCCAAAUUUACUAAUCUUUUUACCAAUUCAUGAACUACCUUGUAUGGUUACACAUAAGCAAAACACAUAAUUAGUUAUUACUUAUAGGUGAGCUAUGUAAGAUUUAUCUAAUCAAACACAAUUAUGGUCAUAAAUUACUUUUAUCACUUAUCUAAGAUUUUGGUCGAUCCUAGCUCUAGCAAUUCAAUGUUCACUAAAUCACUAGGUUUCAAGUUCAUGUAAUUUAAUGGUUACUAAGAAGCUACCCAGAACAUGAAUUUAAGCAACUAAGAAACUAAAAUAACAUGCUAGGUAAUGAUAAUCAAACACAAGCAAUUUACCAACUAAUCAAAUUCAAUAGUCAUUGAGCUAAAACAUAAUUCAGAAGCUUCAUCUAGCUAGACAAGAACUGCUAGAUUCAGCUACUCAUAGUAACAAGUAAGGAAAAACAAAUCAAAUUAUCAAACAUGUUCAUAACUAUCAAACUAAUUUAACUAAUUAUGAACCUUUACUCCUUUUGAUGUUGAAAGCCUUUUCAAGAACUCUUCUUCUGCUCAAAAAACUCCCCAAGUUGUAAUGUUAUGUUUUCUGAUUUCCCGAGUUCACGUCGUGAACCAUAAGGAUUCACGUCGUGAACGCGAUCUUUUCGUAUUCGACAAGGACUCUUCCACCCGGAUGCAAAUCUUCUGGAACAAUCGAUUCAUGUCUUGAGCAUCAAGUUACUCAUGUCGUGAACACAUCUUUUUGGUGGAAUUUUUUAUCCUUCUUCCCUUCAAGCCUCCAAAGUUCCAAAUAUUGUCAAUUCUGUUCCCUUACUUCGAAAAUGUCUUACUUUGGCUGCAAAUUACAAUUUAUCCUUAUAAGUAUCAUAAUUCAUUGCAAAUAACCAAAAUAUUAAUAAAAAUGUGUAUAAAUAUGGCAAUAUCAAAAUACCGCACACUUGUUCUUUGCUUGCCCUCAAGCAAAUCUAAUUAUUAAAUCAAACCUUCAUCACCAAUAUCACAUAGAACGAUCCAACUCAAGCUCAGCCAUUAAGCUAAGACCUCAACGCAUGCAUUUGUGUCUAAAAUUUUUCCUAAGUAACCCCCCUCAAUUCUAAAUACUCACAAUCCUCAUGAACACCCGUCCACUUCUUUUGAACAACACUCAUUUUAUGCAACCCUCCGAAUCUAUCCUCAGAAAGCUUUCUAACCUCAAGAUAUUUUUGUAAAGCCACCCAACUUUUAGAAGAUACCACAACUUGGAGCUCUUGAAUUCCUUCUUUUCUUUGAUAUUUGAUAUUUGAUUUCUUUGAAUUCACCAUCUUUUUGUGUAACUUUCGUAUCUUCAAUUUUUGAAACUUUAGAAUUUUUGAUCUUUGAUCUUCAUACUUUGAUACUUUUAUGCUCCAAAAUUCUUCAAGCAGGGGCGCUUUAUGUGCAAUGACUACCUAAUUUUUUCUGGAUACAUUUCAGGUUUAGGCUGCUAAACAUAUUGCAUCCCUCAAACUAAGCGAGGUUGUAUUUUUGUCCCAUGAUUUUACUAGAAUAAAGGAGGUCACAAAUGCACUAAAAUGUAUAUUGGCUAAACUAAAACACUUGAGUUCUUAUCAGAUCAUCCUUAGCAAUACUGGCAACUUAAGUUUAAAUUAUUAUUACUAGAACUAAUUAGAUUAUUAUUUCAAACCUAUGAAAUAAUAAUCUAAUUAGUUCGAACUCCAAACGUGUAGUUGACAUGUGCAUCUUGAAACUCACGCAAAAAUAAUGAAUCGAAACUUGGACUUGAACUCGCGCAAAAAUAAUGAAUCGAAACUUCAAUCUCCCAUAAGAAUGGUGUAAGUCUUCAAAUUGUAUAAUAGAGAAACAGCUAGCAUGCGCGUCAUAAAAAUCCCAAAUAUAGUGAAAAUGGGAAACUCACGACGUGAGUAAUAUAGGCUAACGACGUGAGUAAUAUAGGCUAGUGAAAAUGGGAAACUCACGACGUAAAAACCCCAAAUAUAGUAGAGGAAACAGCUAGCAUGUGCGUCAUAAAAAUCCCAAAUAUAGUGAAAAUGGGAAACUCACGACGUGAGUAAUAUAGGCUCACGACGUGAGGUCGUAGGAAUGCGGAUUCUGAAAUCUAUAGUAACUCAACUCACGACAUGAAUAGUGUAUGCUCACGUCAUGAAAACUGGGCGACCGAAAAAUGAAACUGCCCAUUCUUCUUAUUACUUUUGGCAUUCCAUUCCAAUUUCUAAAUUGAUAAAGAGACUUUUGAAUGCAGAAUUUCUAUGAUUCCUUGCUAAUCUCAUCCUCUCUCUCUCUCUCUCUCUCUCUCUCUCUCUCUCUCGACUCACCCCACACUUAUUUUUAAUUGUGAGUCUCGACUCUUAACUCUAGACAUGUAACGACCCUUGACUAGCCGAUCACGACUCUUGACUCGACUUUACUCUGUUCCUAAGUCUCCAUAGCAAGCUGUAACCAACAAUUGUUCAACAACCCGUACAACUAAAACCAAAGUGUUCGAACCAAACAACUAAAACCAAAUAAACUAGAAACUAAAAACUAAAAAAAACAAACUAGCGACCGAUCUUCCUCUUCAUCCCGAGCUCCACUAGUGCCUGCCCCCAUCUCCUCCUUGGCCUCGAUACUCGCUCAUCCUAGGGCAAAUUGGGUAAUGAUACCCUAAAUGAGGAGGCUGCUCCACAUGGAAAUGUUGUACCAUAUUCUCCACAGUCCCUCCAAUCCAAUUAAUACUUAAAGAGAGCUGAUCGAAAUACCCAACUAUAUCAUCCGCAAAAUGUGACGCUACCAUGGGUGCGGGUGGAUGCACCAACUGCCCUCUCUCUCCUCGUCCUCACACGUUCCUCCUUCGAGGCCUUUGCUGUGGUUCGGGUUGGUCGGUCGGUUGCUCAUCACCAUCAUCAUUAUCAUUAAGAAUCCCCCAAUGUGUUCCAUAAUUCCUUACCACCCUCAUCGUCUCCAAAUACCCCAUAGUAAACUUGUUCUCCUCCACGCAAGUCAAAGAACGAGUGAUGCCGGGAACGAUGAGACCAUAAGACCGGGCCAAACGUGUAAUAAAGUGCCUUCCACAAAUAGGGCUAUACUCCGCCAAAUAGCGUCUGGCUGUAGAAUGCACCAUAAAAAGAACAAGUUAAUUUUAGUCACCUUAUCACCAUGGUAUGAGAAUUGGGUCUCGGGUCUUGAGUUCUGGAGCAAUAUUGUGUCUGGUGUGUUCAAUUGCGGUGUAUCUCCGGAAAGCAACAUCAAAUCACCAAUUCAUUGCCUUAUCCAUCGCCUUAUCACAUUUUCUAUUCACCACAAACGCCAUGGUGAUAAGGUUACUAAAAUUAACUUGUUCUUUUUAUGGUGCAUUCUACAGCCAGACGUGUGUUGUAACAUUCUGUAUUUCUUGGCCCGCUAUUUGGCGGAGUAUGCAGCGAGUUCUCGUCCCGGGAGCCCUAUUUGUGGAGGGCACUUUAUUAAACGUUUGGCGCGGUCUUAUGGUCUCAUCGUUCCCGGCAUCACUCGUUCUUUGACUUGCAUGGAGGAGAACGAGUUUACUAUGGGGUAUUUGGAGACGAUGAGGGUGGUAAGGAGUUAUGGAACACAUUGGGGGAUUCUUAAUGAUAAUGAUGAUGGUGAUGAGCAACCGACCGACCAACCCGAACCACAACAAAGGCCUCGAAGGAGGAACGUGCGAGGACGAAGAGAGAGAGAGGGCAACCGGUUUAUCCACCCGCACCCAUGGUAGCACCCAAUUGGAGCAGCCUCCUCAUUUUAGGGUAUCAUUACCCAAUUUGCCCUGAGCGAGUAUUGAGGCCAAGAAGGAGAUGGGGCAGGCACUAGUGGAGCUCGGGAUGAAGAGGAAGAUGAUUGAUCGCUAGUUUGUUUGUUUUUUUUGUUUUUUUUUUUUAAUUUUUAGUUUCUAGUUUAUUUGGUUUUAGUUGUUUGGUUCGAACACUUUUAGUUUCGAUAUUGAUUCCUUGUUUUUGGUCAAUUUUUUUGGUGUUCUCGGUUUUGUUAAUUAAAAUGGAAUCUCAGUACAACAAUUCAAUGCAUCAGGAGUUGGAUUCCAUUAUGGGGGACUGCCUCGAAUUCCUUGUCUUGUUCGCUGAUGGGUUUCAGAAUUGGAAAUUCAGAAUUGAGAAGUAUGGAGGAGCAUUCUCAGAGGUCCACUCCUACCGUGGCCCCUACGGCCUCAUCUCCUGAAAUUGCCCAAGGCAAUAUAUGUCUGCAAAGGAUUUAUGAGGCAGAGCAGACAAGGCCUGCUUCUAGGGGAGUCUCUUGAAGUUCAACUGCAAACAAAGAAGUUAAACAUGUGUGGGUGUGUCGGAAUAUUUUUAACAAAGAAGGGAUUAAAUAUAAAAAUUGUAAAAAGAAGACCGCGGUACUGUUAAUCAAUAAAUGUAAUGUUGUAACCAGCCUGUGUCGUUCUUUGGUCUGUGUGGUUGCUUUCCCUGUUGGCAUCGUGCCUGCGGUAUUGUUAAUCAUCGUCGACCUGCCACUCUGUCACUUAUAAGUUUCAUGACUCAAAAAUAACAAAACAAAGAUUUAUUGAUAAAGAGUUCCCAAAAAGGGAAAACUCUUACAAUAUUUUACAUUUUCUCCCUUCUAAGGGAGGAAUUACUCACUAGACAUUGAACUGACAAUUUACUAGAUAGAAAGUGUUUUUUCUUGCACUCGUUAUUGCGAUGCCCCUAAACCCUAAACAAAACAUUGAGAGGGUCUCUGCCUAUUAUGUCAGGCAUGACGUUUUUAUCCACUAAAGAUUACAUUAUUGUGGGCAACUGGAAAGAUGAUGAGGAAGCCAUUUGACAUAUUUCUUUAAGAUGAUGACGAUUUGUCAUCUUCAGAGGAGGGUCCCUCCUUUGUCUCCGAAUCUUUGCUUUCGCAAAAGUGACAAAGAUGUUCUUCGAAAAGUUGUUCUGCAUGUCGACAGAAGUGUUGUUUUGUAACUCUAGCUUGUAUUUAUACAAUGCGAGUCGGUACAAUUAUUCUUUUUUUUUUGAACCAGUAAUCUUAAUGAUUUUUUUUGAGAUUCUUCUUAAACCAUUGAUGCGAUUUGGAUGAAGAAUUUCUGUGAAAGGUAGAUCUUUUUCUUCCAUUGGUUGAGAUUGCUCAAUUUCUCUAUUGGCUUUAGAAAGACCAAUUUCCAGAAAGUGAUAUGGAGAAAGAGUUGAUUCUUGAAUCCAUUCUGGGAGUGAAGAGAUGCAUCUGAUGUAGAUUGGAUUAUCUUUUGCUUUAAGUACUUUCUUUCGAAAGUUCUUAAUGGAUUCUACCAUGCUGCUUGGGAAGAAUUUGAGUUCUUGAAGGUUGCAACUUGGGUAGAUAUUGUCAAUUAGUCCAGCUUGAAAGGCUUGGUAGACUAAUUUUGCAUCUGCUCCUUCGAGGAAGUUGAACAGACUUUUUGUUUUCUUGUCCGUAGUGAAAAACUUUUCAUGAACAAGGUCUUUCUGGGCAUGCAACUUUUGCUUUCUUCCAGAUUGUUUUGAAAUCUUCAAAAGAGAUUUCAGGAUAGUUAACCGUUUGUUGAACGUCAUUUGGAACGUCAAACCUUUGGUCUAUGUGAGCACUUUUUGAAUUUUUGGUCGAAGAAGUGGUUGGUUAGUCUUGCUUGUAUCGUCUUGAUAAGUGGCAAGGCUUAAUCUUGCAGAUGCUUCAUUUCUGAAUUUUUUGCAAGUAACUUUAUCAACUUUACAGAAGGGUUCUGUAAUUCCCCAGUCAGUAUGAACACCGGCAUGUGGUCCUUUGUAGAUUACAUAAAAUCUUUCAACUCCUAUGCACAGAUUUGUUAGUGGGUGACAAAGUUGUCAUUUUACUGAUUCCUUCAGUACAAAUCUGUCUCCUUUAUUAUGCUUUUUAGCAAAGCAUCAACUUUCAACGGAUUUGUUGAUUCUUUACCAGGUGCCGUUUGCACUGGAAUAACCUUUGUUUUUGAGCUUUCGCUUUCUGGUACAUUGGUGACUGUUGUUACUUGUUCAUACAAGUUGAUUUUCUGCUCAAUUGCAGAUAGCUCUACGAGGAGCAUUUGUUUCUUUAUCUUCAAAGUGUUGAGGUCUUCCAUUUUUGUAAACUCAAUUUUUGUUUAAGGUCUAAUCUCCCAUUCUCUUUUUUGUAGGUGAAGUUUUUGUGAGGAAAUAUGUCAUGAGGAUCAUAUCCUUUUAUAGGGCUCGAGAGGAGCGAGUGAGGAAAUAGGUAUACCUGAAGGGAUAUGAUCCUCAUGACAUAUUUCCUCACAAAAACUUCACCUACAAAAAAGAGAGGGGGAGAUUAGAAGAAAAGUAAACAAAAAUUGAGUUUACAAAAAUGGAAGACCUUAAACACUUUGAGGAUAAAGAAACAAAUGCUCCUCAUAGAGCUAUCUGCAAUUGAGCAGAAAAUCAAGUUGUAUGAACAAGUAACAACGGUCACCAAUGUACCAGAAAGCGAAACCUCAAAAAACAAAGGCUAUUCCAGUACAAAUCCGUUGAAAGCUGAUGCUUUGCUAAAAAGCAUAAUAAGCCUUCCUAAUGGAAAAACUAGCUUAUUGAUUACUGAAGGAAUCAGUAAAAUGACAACUUUGUCACCCACUAACAAAUCUGCGCAGAGGAGUUGAAAGAUUUUAUGUAAUCUACAAGCAAGACUAACCAACCACUUCUUCGACCAAAAAUUCAAAAAGCAAGAGUUGCAUGCCCAGAAAGCCUUGUUCAUGAAAAGUUUUUCACUACGGACAAGAAAACAAAAAGUCUGUUCAACUUCCUCGAAGGCGCAGAUGCAAAAUUAGUCCGAUCUACAUCAAAUGCAUCUCUUCACUCCCAGAAUGGAUUCAAGAAUCAACUCUUUCUCCAUAUCACUUUCUGGAAAUUGGUCUUUCUUAAAGCCAAUAGAGAAAUUGAGCAAUCUCAACCAAUGGAAGAUAAAGAUCUACCUUUCACAGAAAUUCUUCAUCCCAAUCGCAUCAAUAGUUUAAGAAGAAUCUCAGAAAAAAUCAUUGAGAUUACUGGUUCAAAAAAGAAGAAUAAUUAUACCGACUCGUAUUGUAGAACAACUUUUCGAAGAACAUCUUUGUCACUUUUGCGAAAGCAAAGAUUCGGAGACAAAGGAGGGACCCUCCUCUGAAGAUGACAAAUCGUCAUCAUCUUAAAGAAAGAUGUCAAAUGGCCUCCUCAUCAUCUUUCCAGUUGUCCACAAUAAUGUAAUCUUUAGUGGAUAAAAACGUCAUGCCUGACAUAAUAGGCAGAGACCCUCUCAAUGUUUUGUUUAGGGUUUAGGGGCAUCGCAAUAACGAGUGCAAGAAAAAACACUCUCUAUCUAGUAAAUUUUCAGUUCAAUGUCUAAAUCUUUGUUUUGUUAUUUUUGAGUGUUCAUACAAAUUAGAGUCAUGUAACUUAUAAGGGACAGAGUGUCAGGUCGACGAUGAUUAACAGUACCGCAGGCACGAUGCCAACAGGCUUGAAUAGUUUCUAUCUAUGUAAGUAUAACACCCACUACCAAGGUUCUAAAUGGCGUGAGGCGUGGUGUGGCGGCAAGGUCAAGCCUCAAGCUUAACGAGCCAUGGCGAGNNNNNNNNNNNNNNNNNNNNNNNNNNNNNNNNNNNNNNNNNNNNNNNNNNNNNNNNNNNNNNNNNNNNNNNNNNNNNNNNNNNNNNNNNNNNNNNNNNNNNNNNNNNNNNNNNNNNNNNNNNNNNNNNNNNNNNNNNNNNNNNNNNNNNNNNNNNNNNNNNNNNNNNNNNNNNNNNNNNNNNNNNNNNNNNNNNNNNNNNNNNNNNNNNNNNNNNNNNNNNNNNNNNNNNNNNNNNNNNNNNNNNNNNNNNNNNNNNNNNNNNNNNNNNNNNNNNNNNNNNNNNNNNNNNNNNNNNNNNNNNNNNNNNNNNNNNNNNNNNNNNNNNNNNNNNNNNNNNNNNNNNNNNNNNNNNNNNNNNNNNNNNNNNNNNNNNNNNNNNNNNNNNNNNNNNNNNNNNNNNNNNNNNNNNNNNNNNNNNNNNNNNNNNNNNNNNNNNNNNNNNNNNNNNNNNNNNNNNNNNNNNNNNNNNNNNNNNNNNNNNNNNNNNNNNNNNNNNNNNNNNNNNNNNNNNNNNNNNNNNNNNNNNNNNNNNNNNNNNNNNNNNNNNNNNNNNNNNNNNNNNNNNNNNNNNNNNNNNNNNNNNNNNNNNNNNNNNNNNNNNNNNNNNNNNNNNNNNNNNNNNNNNNNNNNNNNNNNNNNNNNNNNNNNNNNNNNNNNNNNNNNNNNNNNNNNNNNNNNNNNNNNNNNNNNNNNNNNNNNNNNNNNNNNNNNNNNNNNNNNNNNNNNNNNNNNNNNNNNNNNNNNNNNNNNNNNNNNNNNNNNNNNNNNNNNNNNNNNNNNNNNNNNNNNNNNNNNNNNNNNNNAAAAAAUUAGUCUUUGAAACGAAUCAUUUUCAGACAACCCACAAGCACCGAAUAAAAUGAACUUUAAUGUCGAUGUCCUUGGUUUUUGAAUGUUGAAUGAGAUUUUUGGCAAUUUGAAUGGUCGCAUCAUUAUCACAGAAAAUGGAGGUGUCAAGAAAAUUCAAUCCGUAAUCCAGCAAUUGGUGUUGAAUCUAGAUAACCUGAGAGUAGCAGGCUGAGGCGGUAACGUAUUCAGCCUCAGCCGUUGAGGUUGACAUCCACCUGAUGUAGAUUUCCUAUCAAAAUCACAAUCCAUAGUUGUUUUCAACAAAAACAUAUAAAUCAAAUUCGUGAUUUUUAGGAUACCAAAGCCCAAUUUAGGAUUAGCCUUAUAACGAGCUCCUUUAAGGUACCUAAAAAUCCUUAUAACAACAAUUAAAUGGGAAAGUUUAGGAUUAGCCUUAUAACGAGCACAUUAACAGACGGAAAACAUGAUGUUAGGUCUGGCAGUCAGAUACAUUAGAGAUCCGAUCAUCGAUCAAUAUUCAGUUUGAUCUACGAAUUCUCCUUUUGGAUCUGGCGUCAAUAGUGGUCUUUCUGGUAUUCGAGUGGAAGCAGUUUUUGAAUCUUUAAACCUGAACUUUUCUAGCAUGUUUUCCACAUAUUUGCCUUGUCAUUUCACCGAGCUCAUCUCAAAUCUUUCUUCAUUACUUCAUCGAACUCUUUGCAUAGCUUUGUGUUGGUCGACCUGAAAAUGAUGUCGUCUACGUAGAUUUCAACGACAAUCAAAUCUGCAUCCACUUUCUUGAUGAAUAAUGUCUGAUCGAUCGUUCCACUUGUGUAUAGGGCUGUCAAAAUUGUAUCACGGAAAACCAACCAACAUGCUACCAAUCGAACCAAUAAAGUUGGUAGCCAGUAUAUUUGGUAGCCAACAUGUUUUGUUUAGUGUUUAUAUUUUUAAAAACGUUAUAUAAGUUAUUUGGUCGCAAAAUUAAAGCAUUACUUUAGCGUUACUUUCAAUAGAAGUCUAAAUUACCCGAUGUAUUUGUUUAUUUUAAAAUCUUACAAUGGACUAUUAAAAGAAGUCGGUAUAUACAAUUACCAAUUUGUACCAACCAAACUUGUUGGUAGCCAAAUAUAUUGGUAUGGUACCGGUAUCAAAUUUUUUAUACCAAUUAUAAUUGGUACGGUACACGGUGUAAGGAAAAACGAAUUGGUACCGUACCAAUUCCACCCCUACUUGUGUACCCGUGCUCCAACAGAUGGUCAGUUAAGGUAGCAUACCAAGCUCUAGGAGCCAUUUUGGAUUGACAAACCCUGCUGGUUGAUCAACAUAAAUGUCCUCCUUCACGACUCUGUACAAAAAGGAUGUCUUAACAUCCAUCUGAUAAACUGUAAACCCCAUGUGGGAAGCGUAUGCUAGGAAUAUACGAAUGGCUUCCAAACGCGCCACAGGAGCAUACACUUCAGUGUAGUCAAGACCCACUGUUUGCUUGAAUCCAUGAACGACAAAACGAUUUAGCUCUACCAACUGCCAUACUUUCAACUUCUCGAACUGAUUUAGCUCUUCAUGCAUUGCAUCCACCCAGCUCGGUUCUUUUAGAGCCAUACGAGUAAAGACACUCAUUGACAUCCACUUUGACUUUUGGUUUGAACCCCACAUUCUAGUGAUGAUUGCGUUGAACACGGGUUGGGAUUGGAUGGCUGAUAUCAUUAACCGUGACUAGAAGAUUUGUGAUGUUGUCAAAUCUGCCCGUUGCCGAAUCACCCCCUUCAGACGGUCUGUGAUCAUGAGAAGUACUAGCCACAAAUUCAUUUGCGAACGGAUCUGGAAAGAGAAAUUCCAUGAAAGUUUGUGUGGCAGUUACAUUGUCCCUUGAGAGAAUCUCAGCUUCUUCGAGAGUAAGGGUAGUCUUCGGUGUCGGAACUAGACUUUUGGACUGGUGAGAAAGGAGGUGUACUUGGUGUUCACAGAUGGUUUGAAUGACAGAAUGAGCCAAUGAUAACCUCUUCCUCAUCAUCUUCAACGACUGCACCUGAACCUGAGUAUGAACCUGGAACAUCAUCUGAAAACACAUUAAAUGAUUUAAACAAAGAAGUGUAAUCAAAUAACCAGUCUGGUCCAACUUGAGCAUCCGUCGUAUUCUCUUCUAGCCAGCACACAUGAAAGCAGUGCGUCCAACAUAUCCCAUGAAAUAGCAGUCAUCAACUUUUGAAUUGAACUUAAGAGUUGACUCCAGGUGAAAUGGCAAGAGCAUCUAAAUAUCCUAAAGUGAGCAACCAUUUGCUUGUUGUGACCAUAUAGAGUUUCAUAUGGGAUCUUCAUCUGGUGUUUGUCGAUUAGAACACGAUUCUGAACAUAGCACGCCGAAUGGCUUCAGCCCAGAAAAGACCGGUAAUUUAGAGUAACAAAGCAUGGUCCUUGCUGAAUCAAUUAAAGUACGAUUUCGCUGAUCCGCUAUGCCAUUUUGUUGAAGUGUCUGAGCAACACUAUACUGACGCAAUAUACCUUUUUUAGCAGAAAAAUGAUCCAGGACAACGCUCUUGAACUCUGUGUCAUUAUCACUUUGAAUCCCCUUCACCUUCUCGUUGGUUUGAUUUUCAAUGAGCACAAUAAAUCUCUUAAUAAGUUCAACAGUUUCACUCUUAUUGGACAAGAAGAAAACCCAGGUGAAUGAUGGUUGUCGAGGCCAACAAAAUUAAUAACCCUAAAUCUUCUACACUAAAAUAGUGUAAAUGGGUCCAAUCCACGGAGAUUGAUUCAAUUUUAUAACUCUAUGCAAAAUCUCUAUGUAAAAAUACUUGUAAAAAUAACAAUAAAUUAAAAAUGGGGGUUUUGGUCUUUUAAAAUACUUGUAAUAAAACUAGAUUUAAACUAAGAUUUAAAUGAACAAUUUCAACGAAAUAAGAAUUUGAUGUAUAAUCAAUAAGAGAAAGAUGGUUGACUUGAGGUUUCCUCACUUUGAAUUUUUUUGAUGAACAUAUCAUUAGAAUCCAAUGGUGCAAUAUUUGUAAUCCUUAAUUUGGCUAUAGUAAUCCAAGGAGCUUGAGAUUACCUAGACUUUUCUUAGUUGUUGAAAUGGUUAGAGAAGCUUAUAGCAAUUUCCUUAGUCAAAGUCACCAAUUCCAUUAAGCAUGUAAUUAGUGAAAGUCAACUAGCAUUAAGAAUUUAAAAGUCACCAAAUCCAAGAGGAGUCAAAAGCUUCCACUAACAUGUUGGAGAAAAUGUUUUUAUGAUUGUGUGAAGUAAAACUAACACAAAAAUCACUUGUUGCUUGUUAAUUUGAAGAUCCUUUACUUAAUCAAGAAAUUAGCCAACUAAUCACCACAAACACAUUUAAACUCAUGAACAAAAACAUAUAAGUAAUGGUAAGAUGUUAAAACACAAAACAUUUUCAUAAAGUUCCAAACACAAGUUCAUGGAGUCUUCAACAUUUAACAAUUAGUCAUAGUAUUCCACCAAAGUCAACCACAAAUUGUGUAGCCAAGCAUGGCUAAAUUUAAGAAAACAAAAUUAGUGAAAAUUGUACCCAACAUUUAACAAGAAUCAAGAGGUGAAAAUGAUGGACUUGGCCUUCAAAGUACUUCCAAACUCCAUAGAGAAUGUCUCACAAUCGGAUAUCCAAGAUAAGGCUAAAGAGGCACACCAACCUUCCCAAUAUAGAGCUCUCAACAAAAUCCCAAAAUUGCCCCUUCAGGAAUCCACGCGGGCCGCAUAGAAACCUUACGCGAGCCAUGUGAGUAUGACGGAGUUUUGGGCUUCUUCAAGUCUUGGGCCCCUACAGCUAUUCCAUUGGCCUAGUUCGAGUCUAAUCAACUUCUAGCCCAUUUUUCUGCAAGAUUUCAUCAAUUUGAGCCCAAAUUGCCUCUCCAAAUCACUCAAAGCUUCCACAAACUCCCGAUUAUCGAUCUCUACACACUUGAAAAUUCUCCCGCGCCUUGUAAUUUAAAGUUUAAAUCUCCAAGCCUUCAAGCAAUUGAUAAGCCCACUCCACGAAUCACCUCCAUAGCCAUUAAGCUCGAAAUCCUCAUUGCCCUUCAAGUCCAAUCGCCUACCAAAAUCCCGCUCUGCUAGUCUCCAAAAAUCUGCAAUAAUGCUCAAGAAACUAGAAAGUACCCGAAAUAGUCAUAAAAUAACAAAAAGGAAAUUAACUAAAAUGAGAAUGAAAUGUUUUAAAAUAAAGGGAAAAUGACAUAAAAGCCCUUAAGUGUUCACAAAAAUGUUGGUUUUACCCUUGGACGUGUUUUAUGUCCAGUAAAGCCCGAAGUUUUGUUUAAUUUGUACAUUUUUACCCUUGUAGCUGGUUUCCAGGUAACCGGUUACCAUUAAGUUUUUCAAAAAUGUUCGAAUUUACCCUUACCUUAAUUGUUAUUAUUAUUAUUAUUAUUAUUAUUAUUAUUAUUAUUAUUAUUAAAUAUGUUUAAUAUGUUUUUAAAUGUAUACAAAUAUUUUAUUUGUAUAUUUUUUAAUAUGUUUUUAANNNNNNNNNNNNNNNNNNNNNNNNNNNNNNNNNNNNNNNNNNNNNNNNNNNNNNNNNNNNNNNNNNNNNNNNNNNNNNNNNNNNNNNNNNNNNNNNNNNNNNNNNNNNNNNNNNNNNNNNNNNNNNNNNNNNNNNNNNUAAUAUUUAUAUAUACAUUUGAAAGCCCAUGUAUUCCUAUAGAAAUGUAUUUAUAUAUUAAAAAUGUUUUUAUUUGUAUUUAGUAGGUAUAAGUAUAAAUAUAUAUUUAUUUCAUAUAAAGAUAUAUUAUAUAUUUGUACAUAUUACCAAGUAUAAAUAUGUAUUUAUUAUCAAACAUCAUACUAAAUAGAUAAGCAAAAUAAAUAUUCAUUAAUUAAAAACAUAACAUAACAAUUAUAAAACCCUCGUAAUUAGAAAACCAUAAAAACACUCUAUUAUAGAUAAAAUUUAGUAUAAAUUUUGAAAAACCUCUAUUAUUCAACUGAAUUCGGUUAAUAGUGAGUAGAUAACAAUAAAUGAUCAACAAAUAACACUCGUAAAUGGAAAAUAUACAUAGUAUAAUUCAAAAAAACCUCGACAAAAACACUUGAUCACUGUAAAAAUUAAGUAUUAUCAACUUAAAAUCAUUCAUUAACUGUUUUUAUCUCAAAAAUUGAUAACAAAAUGUCAAAUACGAGUUUAAACUUCAUUUAUGAUUGUUGUAAGUUCACAAAAAGAUCACGAAAUGCAUCAAUUUUUAUAUUGAUCUGAAGCAUUUGUUUUUGCAAAAUCAGUCAUUGACGACAUAUUUUACUUUAUCAAGCUUUUUCUGUUCAAUUCAACAAUUAUAGACGAAGAUUUAGGGUUUUCAAAUGUAUUUUUAAAAAUAUAUAUUUUUAAAAAUAUAUUUUUAAAAAUAUAUUUAUAUUAGUAAAAGUAUUUUUAUACAUUUAAAAAUGUGUGUAUAAAAUAUUUUUUAUACAAUUAAAAAUGUAAUAAUAAUAAUAAUAAUAAUAAUAAUAAUAACAAUAACAACAAUCAAUGUAAGGGUAAAUCCGAACAUUUUUGAAAAACUUAAGGGUAAAUCCGAACAUUUUUGAAAAUCUAAGGGCUUUAAUGUCAUUAGGUACGGUUACAUGGAAACCGGCUACAAGGGUAAAAAUGAACAAAUUAAAUAAAACUUCGGGCUUUACCGGACAUAAAACACGUCAAAGGGUAAAACCGACAUUUUUGUGAAAACUUAAGGGCUUUUAGGUCAUUUUCCCUAAAAUAAACUAUAAAAAGAAGUAAAUAAAAUGAAGCUAUCAAAUCACCCCAAGCUUAAACCUUACUUGUCCUCAAGUAAGACAAGACUAAAAUGAACUCGGGAUGAACUAUCCUAAGAAAAAUAAAAAGAAUGGAUAGAACCGCGAAACUUGAUCACCGUUAGUCAACAUGGCCAGAAUUGAUCUUGCUAUUAUCUCAUUACUUUUUCAUCCGAUGACAAUGAGACCAUAAACCACAACUAGGACAACUCCUCUAGGUGAGUAAGGAGGGAUGGUCAGUUGCAGCCCCAAUGGAACAUGCAAAUAAUGAAGAACAUCUGUAGUAGGGAGAAAGCAAAUGGACGAGCUCAUAUGGAGCUCUUCUUUUUAAGUGUACACUCUAAUCACGAAAGUUGCAUGAUCUCAUGUUUGUCGACCACUCUCAAGUAUGGUUCGGUUUUAUCGCUCGAGCAACGUUGUAGGAAUCAGUUCACUUAGUGUUGACCCAAACCUCUCGUAGUAUCCGACUCAACAAUCUCUCUAACAUAUUGAAUUUUUGCUUUUAUCAAGAAAACUUUUGACUCAAAAUUUGGUUCCCAAAAUUAUGUAAGUGGAACCGAGGGGGUAAAAAUAAAUAAGAAUCCGAAUGGUCUAAGUGUGAAAAUGACCAUGUGUGGAGCGUAAAUAUGCAAGCUCCUUUUCAAACUUUUGAUUUUUCAUAUAUAAAGAAAAUGACCUAAUGUGGGCUAAAAGACUCUCUAAAAUCCUAAGUAAAUCGCAAAAAGAAUAUGGUGAUAUAAUGUAAAGAGGCCGGAUAUGGAUUCUAUUCGGGGACAAACACCAGUGCUUUAUCCUAACGGUUUAAACAUGAUCAAGUGUGAUCCUCUCGGCGGUAAGGACAUGAUCACUUACCCCUAUAGUUGUUAGUAUUACAUGAAUAAUUCUUCAUGAAACUACCUGGCCAUGAUCACUUACCCCUUUAAGCUUCCAACAUCCGAUCCCAAGUUUGAAAUCCCAAACUACAGCUAAUGGUCCCGGUUCGAUGGGUGAGAUAGUAACAAGAUCCUGGACCAAUAAUGAUACAAUAACUGUGAACCUGUUCCAUGGUAUCCAAGGGGGUGAGAAUAAACAGAUAACAAAAUUUCAUGAAUGCUAAUGCCUUAAGCUAAGUGUUAUGCAAAAAUAAAAAGUAGAAAAGAAGAAUUUUUUUUUUGGAAUUUUAUAUAUAUAAAAAAAAUAAAAAAAUGGAUGCAAAUUAGCUUAAAACUAAAAUGAAAUGCAACCUAGCUAAAAAAUGCAAGAAAAAGUAAAAAUAAAAGGAAAUGUGCCCCACCUCAAGCUUAAGAACAAACAUUGUCCUCAAUGCUUACGGAAAGGACGGAAAUGACCUAAAUCGGAGGGUCGGGUGGCGGAAAGUGUCUGUGACGGUAGUGAUAAUCACACAUAUCCCGGACCUGGCGGAAGUCGGCGGGAUGGACUGCUCCAGCUGAUUAACAUGGGUCACCACAUCCUGGAUGGCCCGUGUGUUCUCCUGCAUCUAAGUAUUGAUGUGCUGGAUGGUGGAGAACAUUAUGGUGAACUGGCCGAAGAAGCUAAGAGGGAAGUAUGGUGGGAUCUCGUGUCCCCCCUGCUGUUGUGGCUGAUAUUGAGGUUGGGCAAAAUGUUGUAGAGGUUGAAACUAGUCAUCUUCAUCAUCCACAGGAGGAGGGUAGUCGGAUGGAAUGACCCAUUGUUCGAGGCCAGUUGGCUCGAAACACCCCAUAUGUUAGGAAGAAUGAGGUAUGGCUGAUUAUCAUGGUUUCAAAUGUGACCACGUACUGAUUCGCGGAUGAUUUGCAUCCGCCGGAGUGCAAGGAUGUCAAGGGGAGAGGGCCCGUUGCCUUUUCAAAUGGAAGGGUGGAGAGAAGAAGUUGAAGUCGGAGUGCAAGGAUGUCAAGCCGCCAAUGAAAAUGUUGCCGGUGUCCAUAGUGGUGAGAUUGUAGAAUUUGGUGAAGAAGAAUGUUGCAAGCAAAAAUGGUGCAUGUAAGGACUCGAUGGGCCAGGCGUAAACAUGGAUGAAUGAUUGAGGAAGCCUUGGAGGAAGAUGUAUCGUGGCUCGUGAGUGAUUUGAUGCAAAAAAUGGUGUUCGUUAAAGGUGGCAGGCCAAGGAUCCUGUUGGGAGUAAGUGUGGUCCACCGGGGGGUACCCAUUAAAGCAUUGACGACCCGAAAUGGCAAUGACCUACUCUCGCCUAGCAUUUGUGAUGGUGUUCGUAUCGUCAUCAAUAUCCAAUGUGGAGAGGAAUUCCAAAGUCGACUUAACCUAGGUGGCUGCACGAUUAUGGAGAAACUUGAGGGAGUGCUUGAACUCCCUCAAGCACUCUGAGAGUUUCAAAAGACUCUCGAUGGAGGAACUUUGUUGAUUUGACCUUGCGUUUGUUGGAAACGAGAAAAUCAUAUGUUUUGCGGUGUUCACGAUUCAACAAACGAAAUGGGGGGGGGGGGGUCAUUGGAUUUGCCUUUCGACCCACCUUUAGAUGAACUAGGUUCGGUUUUGGCACGCUUAGACCUUGACUCGGGACAAAAAUUUGACAAUAAUAAUAAUAUUCAAAUCACACCAAAGACCACCACACCGACGAUACAAUUCCAACAACAAACGGGUAUUUAACAAACAAAUAAUCAAGUUAAAGGAUUUGCCUUUCGACCCACCUUUAGAUGAACUAUGUCCGGUUUUGGCACGCUUAGACCUUGACUCGGGACAAAAAUUUGACAAUAAUAAUAAUAUUCAAAUCACACCAAAGACCACCACACCGACGAUACAAUUCCAACAACAAACGAGUAUUUAACAAACAAAUAAUCAAGUUAAAGGAACGAAUGUACCCAAUUUGCUUAAACCCGGGACAUGUUGUGGAAGCAGAAUUAGAACCACCAAAGAGAAUCUUCAAGGCACACCCCAAGCUUAUGAGAUUGCUCCGUGAUUCACCCUUGAGUUUCUGGAAUGACCCAUAAACGAGCUUCAACGUGAUUUUUCGGCGACUAGAGUGGCGGCACCCGGAAUCGGACGAAAAUUUUAGGUGAGCUUUUGGGGGAAAAUUGGUAUGGUUAGAAAGCCCUCGAGAAGAGAAACAAAACCUCGUGCUCGGAAUUUCCAAUGGUGGUCGGAGUUGGCCGAAAAAUGCGAAAGAAUGCGGCGAUGGGUGGUGGUGGCGCCCAAAACUCCAGCCACAGAUCGGACCGGAUUUUAGGUGGGGUUUGUAGAGCUUGAAAAAUGGGAGAAAAUGGCGGUGGUUUCACGAGAUUCCGACCGGUAGAACUCCGGAAAUUGGAUUUUUGUGAGAAGUGAGUUUUGGUGUUCUUGAGCUCUAGAGAGAGAAAUGGUGAGUUUGAGUAGGUUUGAAUGAAUAAGAAGAAGGCUUAACGUAGGUGGCUGCACCAAAACCCACUUCUCAUAAAAAUCCAAUUUCCCGGAGUUCUACCGGUUGGAAUCUCGUGAAACCACCGCCAUUCUCUCCCAUUUUUCAAGCUCUACAAACCCCACCCAAAAUCCGGUCCGAUCCGUGGCUGGAAUUUCGGGCACCACCACCACCCACCGCCGCAUUCUUUCGCAUUUUUCGGCCAACUCCGACCACCAUUGGAAAUUCCGAGCACGAGGUUUUGUUUCUCUUCUUGAGGGCUUUCUAACCAUACCAUUUCCCCCCCAAAAACUCACCUAAAAUUUUCGUCCGAUUCCGGGUGCCGCCACUCUAGUCGCCGAAAAAUCACGUUGAAGCUCGUUUGUGGGUCAUUCCAGAAACUCAAGGGUGAAUCACGGAGCAAUCUCAUAAGCUUGGGGUGCGCCUUGAAGAUUCUCUUUGGUGGUUCUAUUUCCGCUUCCAGAAUACGUCCCGGGUUUAAGCAAAUUGUGGUGGUCUUUGGUGUGAUUUGAAUAUUAUUAUUAUUGUCAAAUUUUUGUCCCGAGUCAAUGUCUAAGCGUGCCAAAACCGGACCUAGUUCAUCUAAAGGUGGGUCGAAAGGCAAAUCCAAUGACCGCCCCCUAUUUCGUUUGUUGAAUCGUGAACACCGCAAAACAUAUGAUUUUCUCGUAUCCAACAAGCGCAAUGUCAAAUCAACAAAGUUCCUCCAUCGAGAGUCUUUUGAAACUCUCGGAGUGCUUGAGGGAGUUCAAGCACUCCCUCAAGUUUCUGCAUAAUCGUGCAGCCACCUACGUUAAGCCGACUUUGGAAUUCCUCUCCACAUUGGAUAUUGAUGACGAUACGAACACCAUCACAAAUGCUAGGCGAGAGUAGGUCAUUGCCAUUUCGGGUCGUCAAUGCUUUAAUGGGUACCCCGGUGGACCACACUUACUCCCAACAGGAUCCUUGGCUUCCUCAAUCAUUCCUCCAUGUUUACGCCUGGUCCAUCGAGUCCUUACAUGCACCAUUUUUGCUCGCUACGAAGUGGGUUAAAUUUCCAAAGCUGAAUUAUUCUUUCUAUGGUGCAUGACACACGAAAAAGGACCCAACCCGGAUUUUGCAACAUUCUUCUUCACCAAAUUCUACAAUCUCACCACUAUGGACACCGACGACAUUUUCAUUGGCGGCUUGAUCACACUCAUUGCAUCUAGACCCCCACUUCAACUUCUUCUCUCCAUUUGAAAAGGCAACGAGCCCUCUCCCCUUGAUAUCCUUGCACUCCGGCGGAUGCAAAUCAUCCACGAAUCAGUACGUGGUCACAUUUGAAACCAUGAUAAUCAGCCAUACCUCGUUCUUCCUCACGAGUAUAUAGGGUGUUUCGAACCAACCGGCCUCGAACAAUGGGUCAUUCCAUCCGACUACCCUCCUCCUGUGGAUGAUGAAGAUGACUAGUUUCAACCUCAAGAUCCCACCAUACUUCCCUCUUAACUUCUUCAACCAGUUCUCCACCAUCCAGCACAUCGAUACUCAGACGCAGGAGAACACCCGGGCAUCCAGGAUGUGGUGACCCGUGUUAAUCAGCUGGAGCAGUCCAUCCCGCCCACUUCUCACCAGGUCCGGGAUAUAUGGGAUUACCACUACCACAUCAUGGACACUUUCCGCCGCCCGACCCUCCGAUUUAGGUCAUUUCCGGUCUUUCCUUAAGCAUUGAGGACACAUUUCCUUUUACUUUUACUUUUUCUUGCAUUUUUUUUAGCUAGGUUGCAUUUCAUUUUAGUUUUAAGCUAAUUGGCAUCCAUUUUUUUUAUUCUUUUUAGCUAGGUUGCAUUUCAUUUUAGUUUUAAGCUAAUUUGCAUUUUAGUUUUAAGAUCCUGGACCAAUAAUGAUACAAUAACUGUGAACCUGAUCCAUGGUAUCCAAGGGGGUGAGAAUAAACAGAUAACAAAAUUUCAUGANUCAUGAAAUUUUGUUAUCUGUUUAUUCUCACCCCCUUGGAUACCAUGGAUCAGGUUCACAGUUAUUGUAUCAUUAUUGGUCCAGGAUCUUGUUACUAUCUCACCCAUCGAACCAGGAGCAUUUGCUGCAAUACUAACAACUGUAGGGGUAAGUGAUCAUGUCCUUACCGCCGAGAGGAUCACACUUGAUCAUGUUUGAACCGUUAGAAUGAAGCACUGGUGCUUGUCCUCGAGUAGAAUCCAUAUCCGGCCUCUUUACAUCACCAUAUUCUUUUUGCGAUUUACACAUUAGGGCAUUUUCUUUAUAUAUGAAAAAUCAAAAGUUUGAAAAGGAACUUGCAUAUUUACGCUCCACACAUGGUCAUUUUUACACUUAGACCAUUCAGAUUCUUAUUUUUACCCCCUCGGUUCCACUUACAUAAUUUUGGGAACCAAAUUUUGAGUUAAAAGUUUUCUUGAUAAAUGCAAAAAUUCAAUAUGUUAGUGCAUUGAAAAAAAAGGCUGAAAUAAACUUAGAUAGGUGACCGGUUCAAUUAUUUAAACAAAUUUCCCUACAUUUUGGUCACCCGACGUUUGAUAUUCAUUUAUAUAGGUUUGUCUUAUUGUAUAUAGGAUUAGUUGUUUCUUUUCGCGAAUUGGUGAUGUUAGAGAGACUGUUGAGUCGGAUACUACAACGGUGCACAAGCGAUAAAACCAAACCAUACUUGAGAGUGGUUGACAAACGUGAGAUCAUGCAACUUUCGUGAUUAGAGUGUACACUUAAAAAGAAGAGCCUCCAUAUGAGCCCGUCAAUUUGCUUUCUCCCUACUACAGAUGUUCUUCAUUGUUUGCAUGUUCCAUUGGGGCUGUGGCUGACCAUCCCUCCUUACUCACCUAGAGGAGUUGUCCUAGCUGUGGUUUAUGGUCCCAUUGUCAUCGGAUGAAAAAGUAAUGAAAUAAUAGCAAGAUCAAUUCUGACCAUGUUGACUAACGGUGGUCAAGUUUCGCGGUUCUAUCCAUUCUUUUUAUUUUUCUUAGGAUAGUUCAUCCCGAGUUCAUUUCUUGUCUUACUUGAGGACAAGUAAGGUUUAAGCUUGGGGUGAUUUGAUAGCUUCAUUUUAUUUACUUCUUUUUAUAGUUUAUUUUAGCACAUUUCAGGUACUUUCUAGUUUCUUGAGCAUUAUUGUAGAUUUUUUGGAGACUAGCGGAGCGGGAGUUUUGGGAGGCGAUUAGACUUGAAGGGCAAUGAGGAUUUCGAGCUUGAUGACUAUGGAGGUGAUUUAUAGAGUGGGUUUGUUAAUUGCUUGAAGGCUUGGAAGAUUUGAACUUUAAAUUACAAGGCGCGGGAGAAUUUUCAAGUGUGGAGAUUGAUGAUCGGGAGUUUGCGGAAGCUUUGAGUGAUUUGGAGAGUCUAAUUGGGCUCAAAAUAAAGAAAUCUUGAAGAAAAAUGACCGAAAAGCUGAUUGGGCCAAAGCUGGGCAAAUGGACUAAGCUGUGAAUGCCCAAGAUUUAAAUUACAGGGGCAUUUUCGGAAAUUCAAAUGGAGCUCUAUAUUGGGAAGGUGCCUCUUUAGCCUUAUCUUUGACUUCCGAUUUUGACUCAUUCUCUAUGGAGUUUUGGGAGCACUUUGAAGGCCAAGAACCCUCAAGAACUUCAUCAUUUUCUCCUCUUGAUUCUUGUUAAAUGUUGGGUACAAUCUUCUCUAACUUUGUUUAGCCAUGAUUGGCUAAACAAAUAUUGGUUGAUUUUUUUUGAAUUCUUUGAACUUUUGUUGAAUAUUGAAGAAUC
rnacentral:lncRNA from 1 species